rnacentral:lncRNA from 1 species
AGUCCUUCGCCGUCCCUCGCCGUCCUUCGCCAUCGCACGCCACCGCACCCCAUCUCUCGAAAUCUGCAGACAUCUUGAUUUUUCCCACGCUGUCUGUCAGGUCUCCGCCGCCACUCGACGCCAGGGCGCCGGGCCUUGUGGGCUGUGCUGCACCUCGGACGGCUUCGCACCAGCCAGCGCCCUCUCUCUCCUGCAGCACUCUGAUCUGCACCCCCUGAGGGGCUUCCACUGUCCGCGGGGUGAGAAUGCCCCUGGGAGUGUCACAUGACUGCCGCCCCAUGUGUGUGAGAGGCGUCCUCUGGGAGAGCAUGGAUCCUGAGGUCCCAGGAUUGUCAGCUGACCUCUGUCCUGUGUGCCCAGUGGCCCCAGGUGACGUGUCUUCAAGAAGAGGCUGAGCUGCGGUGCUUGUAAGGGUCUCAUUCUGUCACCCAGGCUGGAGUGCAGUGGUGCAAUGAUGGCUCACUGCAGCCUCGACCUGGGCUCAAGUGAUCCUCCACCUCAGCUUCCUGAGUAGCUGGGACCACAGAGUCAUGUGCUGUUCCUGGGGCUUGGAUGAUGUAGGGGAAGCAAGGUGAAAGUGGUAUCCCGUGGUUCCACGUUCUGUCCUGCUGUGGGGCUGUCCCUCACAUGCUUUCAGUGGCUGUUGCAGAGGAAGAGCCUCCGGAAAUCUGCGUCUCAGCCUUAGAUCCAAGGACAGUCCAAGGAAGUCCUAAGACCAUGGAGUUGGUGAUCUGGGAUCUGGGUUUGCUGAUAUUUCUCACCGUGAAUCUCUUGGUGGUGUUUGUGGGCACGAGAGGGGCAGAGAAUGGAGAGUGAGGCUACCACAUGAAGCGUCACCAGAGCUGCUCCCUGCUGCCUGCUCAGAGCACCCCGGAUCCACUGUUCAAUCUGCACAAGAUUCGGGGUCCAGACAUGGGAGACUUCAGCUGCCUCAGAGGACCGUGGACAGGGAAGGCCAGCCUCGCAUCCCUCUGUCCAUGCCUGGAAUGACUUUAAUAACCAAGAGUUUUAUUUUUGAAUUUGUAGCUGUCGUUCACUUUUUACCCACCCAUUCAAUAAACCUUACAGAAUUGCUCCA